rnacentral:rRNA from 2 species
CGCACGGUCCCGUUUCCGUUGGUUGGAGGGGCCGUCGUAAUGAUUAACAGGGACCGUCGGGGGCAUCAGUAUUUUGCAGCGAGAGGUGAAAUUCUUGGACCUGCAAAAGACUAACUAGUGCGAAAGCAUUUGCCAAGGAGGUUUUCAUUAAUCAAGAACGAAAGUUGGGGGAUCGAAAACGAUCAGAUACCGUUGUAGUCUCAACCAUAAACGAUGCCGACCAGGGAUCGGGCGGUGUUGACAUUGUGACCCGCUCGGCACCUUGCGAGAAAUCAAGAGUCUUUGGGUUCCUUGGGGAGUAUGGUGGCAACGCUGAAACUUAAAGAAAUUGACGGAAGGGCACCACCAGGGGUGGAGCCUGCGGCUUAAUUUGACUCAACACGGGGAAACUCACCAGGUCCAGACACGGCGAGGAUUGACAGAUUGAGAGCUCUUUCUUGAUUUCGUGGGUGGUGGUGCAUGGCCGUUCUUAGUUGGUGGAGUGAUUUGUCUGCUUAAUUGCGAUAACGAACGAGACCUUAACCUGCUAACUAGCCCGCGUCGCCUCGGCGGCGUGCCCAAUUGAUGGCUUCUUAGAGGGACUAUCGGCUCAAGCCGAUGGAAGUUUGAGGCAAUAACAGGUCUGUGAUGCCCUUAGAUGUUCUGGGCCGCACGCGCGCGACACUGACAGGGCCAGCGAGUAAAAUGUUUAUUUAUUUCCCCCUUGGCCGAGAGGUCUGGGUAAUCUUGGGAAACCCUGUCGUGCUGGGGAUAGAGCAUUGCAAUUGUUGCUCUUGAACGAGGAAUCCCUAGUAAGCGCAAGUCAUCAGCUUGCGUUGAUUACGUCCCUGCCCUUUGUACACACCGCCCGUCGCUACUACCGAUCGAAUGGCUCAGUGAGGCUUUCGGACUGGCCUAGGGAGGUUGGCAACGA